ensembl:snRNA U6 U6 spliceosomal RNA
GUGCUCACUUUAGCAGCACAUAUGCUAAAAUUGGAACAUUACAGAGAUGAUUUGCAUGGCUUCUGCACAAGGAUGACGUGCAAAUUCAUGGAGCAUUCUAUAUUUUU